CAUCCUCCAAGGCUAAAUACUCCUGACUGACCGAUAGUGAACCAGUACCGUGAGGGAAAGGCGAAAAGAACCCCUGUGAGGGGAGUGAAAUAGAACCUGAAACCGUGUACGUACAAGCAGUAGGAGCCCACUUGUUGGGUGACUGCGUACCUUUUGUAUAAUGGGUCAGCGACUUAAUUUUAGUAGCAAGGUUAACCGUUUAGGGGAGCCGUAGGGAAACCGAGUCUUAACUGGGCGAAUGAGUUGCUAGGAUUAGACCCGAAACCGAGUGAUCUAGCCAUGGGCAGGUUGAAGGUGAGGUAACACUUACUGGAGGACCGAACCGACUAAUGUUGAAAAAUUAGCGGAUGACUUGUGGCUAGGGGUGAAAGGCCAAUCAAACUCGGAGAUAGCUGGUUCUCCCCGAAAGCUAUUUAGGUAGCGCCUCGGACGAAUACUACUGGGGGUAGAGCACUGUUAAGGCUAGGGGGUCAUCCCGACUUACCAACCCUUUGCAAACUCCGAAUACCAGUAAGUACUAUCCGGGAGACACACGGCGGGUGCUAACGUCCGUCGUGAAGAGGGAAACAACCCAGACCGCCAGCUAAGGUCCCAAAGUUAUAGCUAAGUGGGAAACGAUGUGGGAAGGCUCAGACAGCCAGGAUGUUGGCUUAGAAGCAGCCAUCAUUUAAAGAAAGCGUAAUAGCUCACUGGUCGAGUCGGCCUGCGCGGAAGAUUUAACGGGGCUAAGCUAUACACCGAAGCUGCGGCAAUG
rnacentral:rRNA from 1 species